AAAUUGAGAGGAUAUCACAGGACUGGAAUUUAUUUGCGCAGUCAAUAGCAGGAAGAACAACGUGAGGUCAUCAACUAUCACCAUGAUUAUCUACUCAACUCGGGAACAACAACAAGGAAGUUGUAGGAGAUUGUUUCUGAGUUUUGAUGAAAUUGACAGAACAUCACAGGACUGUCGGAUUAAUCGGCACAAUCGAUAGCAGGAAGAAACACUGAUGUCAUCAACCAUGACCAUGAUUAUCUACUUGGCCCAGGAACAACAACAAGGAAGUUUUAGGAGAUUGUCUCUGAGUUUUGAUGAAAUUGAGAGAACAUCACUGGACUGUCGGAUUUAUCGGCGCAAUCGAUAGCAGGAAGAAAGCACUGUGAUGUCAUCAACCAUGACCAUGAUUAUCUACUCAGCCCAGGAACAACAACAAGGAAGUUGUAGGAGAUUGUCUCUGAGUUUUGAUGAAAUUGACAGAACAUCACAGGACUGGAAUUAGCGCAAUCAAUAGCAGGAAGAAAGCACUGUGAUGUCAUCAACCAUGACCAUGAUUAUCUACUCAGCCCAGGAACAACAACAAGGAAGUUUUAGAUCAAGUCUUGAAGAUCAAGAUUUGCAGCUCAAGAUCAAGAACAGAACCUCAGAGAUUAAGAUCAGAUGUGUUCCGAGUCAAGAUAGAGAUCACAAGACCAGGAGAACAACCUUCAUUGCUGAAGUUCUCAUCUGAAGUAAAAAGUGUAAUUGAUAAAUGUCACAAUUUUCCUGGUUUCCCAGAUGAGUAUCAUGUUUUUAUGAAUUUUCAAAUUAGCUGGCUUUAAAAUUAGUCAUUGUGUUUUUCACUGACCUGGGACCGGUGAAGAAAGAGUUGCGACACUUGUGACACAAGUCAGAAUAUCAAUCGCAAGUCUCAAGUGCAUGCUGUUGAUUGGUUGAUAAUCAAGUUGCGUUUGAUUUUGAGAGUUGUGUUUGAUUGCAACUCAUUCCCCAAUGCCUUGGGCCAUUGAACUCUUUGAUGUUAUUCUCACAAAUAGUAUUGGGAUUACAUGCGUUAAAACGUGAAAAAACAAAUUCCAGGUUACGUUAUUUUUAUUUUGUUAUUAUUAUCAUUAUUACAUGGAAAUAACUCACAUAUUUAUCGCUGGGCAAUAUUUUUUGCCAUGUUUUCUUUGCAAAUUUUUGUUAUAGCUUUCUAUCUGUAAUAGUUUUGUGACACAGCAGUCAUAGCCAAAACAUAGCUAGAGAAAGAAAUUACCAAAAGUUCAAGGGUUGUAAGUUUUUGUUCAUUUAAGAUUCAAAUUCAUUAUUUUGAAACCAAGAAAGUAUUUAAUAUUUUCUACAUUCCGACUCAUGUAAUCCCAACCCCGCUCAAAUUGUCUGAUGUGACAGAAUUCAGGUCUGUGAGAAGUUAAUGAAACUUAUGUUUAGACUUAUUUUCAAAGCCUGCUUUAUCUGAGUUUUUCUUCAGAAAAUACUCAACUGGCAAGUGACGACAGUGCAUAAAACUUCAUUGUGUUUUGUAGUUUAAUAAAAGGGCUUUUUAUUAGUAUACCGUUUGUCAAUUUCACUUUUUGCUUCGGAUGGAGUCUACAAAGAAUAACAAACAAGGAAAUUGAAAUGGAAUAUGCAGAAACCAUGGUAAGACAAUUGCAAAAACAUAGAUUUAGUACAGUGUUUCCACAGCUAAAAAACAGAUUUGCUGGAAAUGAAUAACCUGGAAUUUUGAAGUUUAUUUUUUUUUAAAUAGAUGGUACAUGGCCCUGCAUGAACCAGGCCUAAUGACCAAAAUUCAAGGGCCUGUAUUCUGAAGUCAGACCAUGGUCUAACUCUGUGCUAAAAUUAUGGGAAGCCAAAUGUGUCAACAUUUUUAUUAAGUUGUAUGUUUCUUAUAUUUACUGUGCUCUUUCCUGAUUCUUCAAUGGUAAAGACAAUCAUCUAUUUAUACUUCCUAGACAAUUAUGAAUGAUUUGAGAGCCAAUGAGCUGAAAUAUGAUAUCUCUACUGUAAGUGAUUCAUGUAACAAUUGGCUAUCCAUACUUAAACCACAACUUUAAACUUGAGUUUAAGUUAAACCCGACUUCAAAAUGCACCCCAAGGAGUCUUAAGGGCUCCUUUUUUUUUACACACUUAAAAUGGGGACAAAAUCACGAAUAAAGAGCGAGCAGAAAAAGAAUUUGAGCUAUAUAAUGAGGAAAAUUAUUGUGAGUUUAGAUUUUUAGAGUUUUGGGAUAUUUAUUUAUGUUUCUCAAAAUUACCAAGAGAUAAUAAAUUUCCCAGAAUUCAGGAAAUUUCCUAAGGGUGGAAACACUGGAUUAGUAUACAAUAAUCAACCACUUUUGACCUGCAAACAUGGGUGAUAAGCAUGACGCUACGUACUAGAAUCCCAUCCUGUCAUGCGUUGCAAUGCAAGAAGAGUUUAUCAAAAUUACCAAAUCAGAAGAAAAACGGUGUAGUUUUCAUUCUUUCACAAAAAUCAAAUAUUUGUGGCAUUAUUUAGGGUGAGGAAAUCAUCACAAAAAAAUUGUUUAGAAUACUCCAAGAUCAAAGGAGGAUUACUUGUUUUGAUAAAUCUGUAUGAGCAUGGUGUCCUUAAUUGUAAUGACCGUUAGUCACCUCUGCUGUCUACCGCGCUCUGCAACAAAAAUUGGUAUGCAUGUCACCUACAAUGUUACCUACAGACUGUACACUUAAUUUUGAUUAUUAAUCAUUAAGCUUUAUAUUUAUGCAUAAAUUAGAUGCUCUAAUUAUUCAAAUACAGCUCCAAACUUUUGUUUCUGGAUGCUUUGUGGGAUUCUUAUCAGACUUUCCUUUGAAAACGAAAUUGUGAAGUUUAUAAUUUUUAAAAUUUCCUAUUUAUUUCAAUCAUUUUUAAAAUUUAUUUUGUUUUUCAAAAUUGCUGAUGAUACUAUUUCAAUCUUAAAUAACAUGAUUUUGAUUUAAGCAUUUGAAGCAGAAAAUACUGAAACAUUCAUAAAUCUAAGUUUUAAGAUUUGAGUAUUCAUUAAAUUGAAAAUUUAUGAAUCGACUGAAAACGUCUACCUAACACGGGAGAUUUCCAUUACGGUAUGUACCGGUAAAUGAAAGUGAAUGAACUAAAUGCCAGCUACUUAUGAACCCAGUGUUUAAAUAUGUUUUGAUUACUUUUGCGUAGAUCCAAGGAGCAGGUCCAAGCUAUUAUCUCUUUGCUGGCAUACUAUGUAGGACAUGAUUAUUACUAGGAGUAAAAAAAUUGAUAUGUGCAUAAGGUUGGAAAUUAUUUCAAUUAUCAUGAAGUUUAUAAUUAUUAAUAUGUGGGUUAUUAUGCCUAGUAGUUUUUUGUGAAGUUAACUUAAUUUGCUACCUUCUCUUGAUAAAGUUAAGGCCCUGACACAUCCUUCUGUGCAAACCUUGCAGGUAAGUUGUGGGCAGUCGGUAGAGCGGGGGACUCGUAUUCCGGUGACCCGGGUUCGAUUCCCACUUGGUGCGCUAGUGCCCUUUGGUAAGGCAUUAAUCCUCAGUACCAGGUCCUUCGGAGGGGACCUUAAGCCAUCGGUCCUCUGGUUGCUUGCUUACAAGCAUUCAUGCUUUCUUAGCAAUCAGGUAAAAAAAAUCACCACCAAUCAAUCUCCUGCAACAAAAUGCUUUCUUUGUUGGAAAAUCAGACUUUGUUGCACUCUUGUAGGCAACUGUGUGCGAGAUACUGUUAAUGCAGGCUACCUACAGAUAGCAAAAAGAUACCGCAAGCUACAUGUAAGGCAUGAAGGGAACGAUGUGACAAGACCUUUUAAUGGUAAUUGUUGGGGGGGGGGGUAGUGUAUGUUGACUAUUUCUGCAAAAGUGGAUCCAAAGGUUUUCCAGAGUUUUUGCCUCUUGAGUUUUAUCUCUGGUUUUUUACCCUGGAGCUACUUGUCGUAGAAUUGUAUACCCCCCCCCUCCCCCAUUUUCUUUGCAAUACUUUAUAUAUACUUAUUUCCCAUGAAUAAUGUUGAUAUGUUCUGUCCAAUCUAAUGAUAUGUAAAUUUUCAUUUUCAUUUUCAUUUUUUAUCUAAAUUAUAGAUAACGGGUAUUUCAAAUGCACAGUAUAGGGAAGUUUGUUAUUAACCUAUAAAAUUCAAUCAAUAUAUUACAGAAGAUAUUGUCAUGCAUUCAAAGGUCACAGAUGACAAAUAUGUUAUUUAAAUAUCAUGUUCAUGCAACCACUGAAGAACUGUUUGAGGGAUCAACUUCAUUUAGAUUGGAGUGGCAAGAAUCUGAUUAGAUUUGGAGUCAAUAUGUACCAGAAAUAUGUUUGUUCCCAUGAUAAAGAACCAUGUAAGGGUUCAACUUCAAAAUUGGCUUGUGUAUGCAUGCGGGUGUAACAAAAUAAUUGAAUACUUGUUUCAUGUAUUCAUAUCAGAAGCACAGUGAUUUGGGGUUAUGAGGUCAAAAGUCACAGAGGUCAUUUUGAACUUUUUUUUUUUUUUCAAUAAGUAAAGAACCAUUUGAGGGUUAUUGUAUGCCCAAAAAUAUUUCUUUCUCACAAAAACUGAAGAUGUUUUAAUACUUUAAUUUCAACUUAUAUGGAUGCGAGUGAGGAUCUGUUUUGAUUAUUUUAGUCACAAGGUCAAAUGUCCUGGAGGCCAUUAUUUGAAAUUAUGAAAUAUGUAUUUCAAUGGCAGAGGCAUUAUUUUACUGUAUGCAAUUGAGAGUUGAUUUAGUUUAUUUCAAUGUUCUCAUAGUCUCAGUAAUGUAUGGUGCCAGUUAUGUUUAUAUAGGUAUUAGAUGCUUCAAAAGUUUAUGACUCCUAGAGAAACAAUUCUGGGAAAAGUUUCAUGAAUUGUUAAAUAACACUCAAAUCUUGCAUACAUGUAAGUGUUUAAUGCACAGCCCCAUCUUCAGUAGAGUUCGUCCUGUUUGGGAGAUCUAACCAAUAUGGCGAUACCUUAAUUUUCACAUGCAAAUGAAAAUUUUAGAGCAUAUUGAGACAUUCUCAAAUUUUUGUGAAACCCCUCUUUAAUUUGUCUAUUACCUGUAUGUAAAAUAGUUUUGACCUGCCCGACAUGUACUGUAUAUUAGGGACAGUGAUUUUCUGUUUAAUACCUGUAAAUCAAAAUGGAAGAUUAUUUUUGUUUGUCUUCUUUUCAUGUGAUAUUUCAUUGAGUUUACCUUUGCAAACUGAAUUCAUGCCUUUGCUUUGUACAAACACAGAAUCUCCAUUUUAAAUCAAGUUUGAAACAGAAUUGUAGGUUUUCAGAAACGGAAAUGACCAUGUUUUGAAAUGGAAAAUCUCUGUCCCUGCCCAUAGUCUUUGAUUGUACUAUAUGCUUGCUUUGUAUUCAUGAUUUUUGUUAUUUCUUGAAAAAGAAUGUAAGACCAGCAGCCCAGAAGAUUCAUUCAAUAUACGGACCAUAGCAGUUGACCCCAAUCGAUGGUGGUAGGCCCUAAACCUUGCAAACAUGGCUUCCUGUCUGGUUUGAGCUGGGAUCUUCCUGCCAGAAUCACACAAUUAGCGACAUCACUACCAAGAGAUAUAUUUUUCAGUGUGCAGAGAAGGGCAUUGGACACUGUUGUGCAUGGUAUACAACUUGCCACAAUGUAAGUGCUUUAAUAAUGAUUUCAAUGAUAUUUUUGUAGCCUUAAGUAUGUGAGACAAUGCAAUCAGUUUUCCAGUUUAUGUACUGAGGGCAAUAACUUUUGUGAAAAUAUUGGGCAGCAAUUUUCCCCAUAUCAGGAUUUUUUUCUCUUUUCUUUUAAUGAUUGUAAUCCCUUCUCUUUACCUUUACUGUUUUUUCCCCCAUUUAUUUAUCUUUUUGUUGGCUGUACAAGGUAUGUCAAUCCAUUGAUAGUCCUUUUUUAUAUACCUCCCAGUACUAUUUGUUCUAGCUGUUGCUCUAACUUUCUUUUUGUUUCACAUUGCUGCAACAUGAUAUCUGCCAUGACUGAUUUAGUAACGUGCUAAGAAGAUAAACAAUUUUUAUAAGAAAUUUUUAUAUACAGACAUUGAUUUUUUUAAUUGCAGAGCAAUGAUAGAGCAAUGUGAAUGAUUUUGCAAUAUAUAUUCUCUUUUCUGUAUGUGUUAUUUUUUUGGGUCAGACUAAUUUGAAUAAAUAUUUCAAACUUUAUCACAGUCAUUUCACCAUGUACGUACAUAAACCUCAUGUUUGCUGAGUGUGUAUCCAUCAUGUAUUCACAGAAUGUGAAGAGAUAUUGUGGACUGCACGAAUGUUAAGAUAUGUGAUGAUCAAGGUAGAUUCUCAAUAUAGGUUUGUCUGCCCAAAUCUUCAACUUCGGAUUUAAAAUUUUCACCCAUUUUUAUGAGGGUUGUACACUUCAAUGAGUUUUUUCCACAAUGUGUAAAAAAAAAAUGCUCCUUCAAUCAGAGCAAUAUAAGUAAGUCUGGAAUCUUGUUUCAGAAGUGGAAUGUCAAACUUUUAUUUCUAGAGCCUUCCCAGAGUAGUGUUUCAAGUUGACCCCUAUUGAUAUUUGAAAUAUUGAUGGAGCAGUGUUGUCAAUAUGGCUUUGGAGCUUGGUGCCAUUGGUCAAGAUCGAUGAAAAACUGGUUUGCACUCCAAAUCGACGCAGAUAAUCAUUUGUUCUGCACAAAGAGAAGAGAGAGGAACUGGCGAUGUGUGUUUGAAGAGAGUACUGCUGUCUUCCUGAAAGUAGUUUCAGUUGCAUAUGACAUCUUUAUAUUUGGUGUUUGGAAUCUGGUUAUGUUGUGAUGAUCUUCAUGUACUAUCUGACCACAAGGAAUGGUGUUCCUUUCAGCUUACGCAUGAUAUCCAGCUCUUCAAAACCUCAUGCACUUCUUGGACUCACAGAUGCUGAUCUCUUGUGAGAGUGUUGGCCUCUUUGUGAUGGCAUUAGAGGAAUUCUCAUCGGAUCUAGUUCCAGUUGGUCAAUUUUGUCUUUUCCAGCCAUUUGACAUUUUCCUGUGUUUAUUGGAUUUCCCAUUUAUUUGACUCUGAUGAAAUGAAAGGCAAUGUGAAGUCUUGGUAUUACAGAGUCAGAGUCAAUAAAGACUAUUUUUUGCUCCUCAUGCAUGCCUAUAUUGUCACCAAAAGGGAAGCUACAUACAUCUGAUACAUUUUCUGACUUAGUCAGUAACUCUAGCUAUUAAACCACAUUGCACUUGUUUGAAUUCUGAUAAAGCAGAUUCUUAAAGUCUUUGUCAACAUGUGUCCAGGAGGAAACACUCUUUGGAAUGAAAUUUGAAUAGAUUUCCUGUUCAGAGGAAAUUUCAUCACAUUCAGGUAUUCAGAAAUGUAAUCCCUUAAAGUGAGGGGAAAUUAUUUUAUUUCACCCUAUAUAUAGCCCAGGCUAUUUUAAAAUUACAUA